GAUGAACGCUGGCGGCGUGCUUAAUACAUGCAAGUCGAACGAGGAACUUUUGUCUUCGGAUAGAGGUUUCCUAGUGGCGAACGGGUGAGUAACGCGUUGGUGACCUGCCCCGAAGUGGGGGAUAACAGUUCGAAAGGACUGCUAAUACCUCAUGAUAUCAAUUGGAUUAGAUGCCUUUUGAUCAAAGGCGUAAGCCGCUUUGGGAGGGACCUGCGUCCCAUCAGCUAGUUGGUAGGGUAAUGGCCUACCAAGGCUAAGACGGGUAGGGGACCUGAGAGGGUGGACCCCCACACUGGCACUGAAACACGGGCCAGACACCUACGGGUGGCUG
rnacentral:rRNA from 1 species